CAGUCGCCGCGGGAAAACGUAGGUGGCAAGCGUUGUCCGGAAUUAUUGGGCGUAAAGGGCUCGCAGGCGGUUUCUUAAGUCUGAUGUGAAAGCCCCCGGCUCAACCGGGGAGGGUCAUUGGAAACUGGAAAACUUGAGUGCAGAAGAGGAGAGUGGAAUUCCACGUGUAGCGGUGAAAUGCGUAGAGAUGUGGAGGAACACCAGUGGCGAAGGCGACUCUCUGGUCUGUAACUGACGCUGAGGAGCGAAAGCGUGGGGAGCGAACAGGAUUAGAUACCCCCGUAGUCCCUGUCUCUUAUAC
rnacentral:rRNA from 1 species